rnacentral:rRNA from 1 species
AUUGAACGCUGGCGGCGUGCUUAACACAUGCAAGUCGAUCGGUAACGCGGGGGCAACCCUGGCGACGAGAGGCGGACGGGUGAGGAACGCUUGGGAAUCUGCCUAUCAGCGGGGGACAACACGGGGAAACUCGUGCUAAUACCGCAUACGCUCUACGGAGGAAAGCCGGGGACCGCAAGGCCUGGCACUGAUAGAUGAGCCCAAGCCGGAUUAGCUAGUUGGCGGGGUAACGGCCCACCAAGGCGACGAUCCGUAGCUGGUCUGAGAGGACGAUCAGCCACACUGGGACUGAGACACGGCCCAGACUCCUACGGGAGGCAGCAGUGGGGAAUAUUGGACAAUGGGGGAAACCCUGAUCCAGCGACGCCGCGUGGGUGAAGAAGGCCUGCGGGUUGUAAAGCCCUUUCGGUAGGGACGAAAGCUCUCGACCUAACACGUCGGGAGGUUGACUUAACCUACAAAAGAAGCACCGGCUAACCCUGUGCCAGCAGCCGCGGUAAUAC